rnacentral:rRNA from 1 species
UACGUAGGGUGCUAGCGUUGUUCGGAAUUACUGGGCGUAAAGGGCGCGUAGGCGGUUUGACCAGUCAGGUGUGAAAUUCCCGGGCUUAACCUGGGGGCUGCACUUGAUACUGUCAGGCUUGAAUUCGGGAGAGGAUAGCGGAAUUCCCAGUGUAGAGGUGAAAUUCGUAGAUAUUGGGAAGAACACCGGUGGCGAAGGCGGCUAUCUGGACCGACAUUGACGCUGAGGCGCGAAAGCGUGGGGAGCAAACAGG